rnacentral:tRNA from 2 species
GGAGAGGUAGCGAAGAGGCUAAACGCGGCAGACUGUAAAUCUGCUCCCAUUGGGUUCAGUGGUUCGAAACCACUCCUCUCCACCA